UACGGGGGGAGCAAGCGUUGUUCGGAUUUACUGGGCGUAAAGGGCGCGUAGGCGGCGCAACAAGUCACUUGUGAAAUCUCCGGGCUUAACCCGGAGCGGUCAAGUGAUACUGUCGUGCUAGAGUGCGGAAGGGGCUACUGGAAUUCUCGGUGUAGCGGUGAAAUGCGUGAGAGAUCGGGAGGAAUACCAGUGGCGAAGGCGGCCUCUGGACUGACA
rnacentral:rRNA from 1 species